AUGUCACAGUGAAUAGGUAAACACAGAGGUGGAGGAGCCCAACCGUCUGAUCCUUUACGCUCGGUUAUCUGGAAGUCAUCGUUACCCAUCGGGCGGCGCACAAUCGACCCCGCGUCGUCCGGGUUAGGGUUUGGCUGGGGUAGGCAGUCAUAGAAAACAAGUUGUUCUUAACUAACUUGUCUAUUUAAAUAAAAGGUUAAAUAAAUACUCUUAAGAGGGAACAAAACACAGCUGGCGUAAAUGAGAAAACAUUAACAGCCCGAGGCAAAGGCCUUCAACUGUCAGCGAGGUAGUAUAGCAGGCAGACUAAUGGCCUCCAUCAUGCUCACUAGCAUUGCACGCUUUGGAUAAAAUGUCUGCUAAAUGGCAUAUUGUUACGUCCUAAAGAGAGAAAUGACCAUACGAGGGUAAAAACGACACACUUCCAAUCACAGUUCUACUCUAAAUCAACUCUUCAAUGAAUCAUUAGAAAAAGUCCCUCACUUAUCCAGGUUCUUUAAUCCUGCAUGGCCAUCCUUCACUUAUCCAGGUUCUUUAAUACUGCAUGGCCAUCCUUCACUUAUCCAGGUUCUUUAAUACUGCAUGGCCAUCCUUCACUUAUCCAGGUUCUUUAAUACUGCAUGUCCAUCCUUCACUUAUCCAGGUUCUUUAAUCCUGCAUGGCCAUCCUUCACUUAUCCAGGUUCUUUAAUCCUGCAUGGCCAUCCUUCACUUAUCCAGGUUCUUUAAUACUGCAUGGCCAUCCUUCACUUAUCCAGGUUCUUUAAUACUGCAUGGCCAUCCUUCACUUAUCCAGGUUCUUUAAUACUGCAUGGCCAUCCUUCACUUAUCCAGGUUCUUUAAUACUGCAUGGCCAUCCUUCACUUAUCCAGGUUCUUUAAUACUGCAUGGCCAUCCUUCACUUAUCCAGGUUCUUUAAUCCUGCAUGGCCAUCCUUCACUUAUCCAGGUUCUUUAAUACUGCAUGGCCAUCCUUCACUUAUCCAGGUUCUUUAAUCCUGCAUGGCCAUCCUUCACUUAUCCAGGUUGUUUAAUCCUGCAUGUCCAUCCUUCAUUUAUCCAGGUUCUUUAAUCCUGCAUGGCCAUCCUUCACUUAUCCAGGUUCUUUAAUACUGCAUGGCCAUCCUUCACUUAUCCAGGUUGUUUAAUCCUGCAUGGCCAUCCUUCACUUAUCCAGGUUCUUUAAUACUGCAUGGCCAUCCUUCACUUAUCCAGGUUCUUUAAUCCUGCAUGGCCAUCCUUCACUUAUCCAGGUUCUUUAAUACUGCAUGGCCAUCCUUCACUUAUCCAGGUUGUUUAAUCCUGCAUGGCCAUCCUUCACUUAUCCAGGUUCUUUAAUCCUGCAUGGCCAUCCUUCACUUAUCCAGGUUCUUUAAUACUGCAUGGCCAUCCUUCACUUAUCCAGGUUCUUUAAUACUGCAUGGCCAUCCUUCACUUAUCCAGGUUCUUUAAUACUGCAUGGCCAUCCUUCACUUAUCCAGGUUCUUUAAUACUGCAUGGCCAUCCUUCACUUAUCCAGGUUCUUUAAUACUGCAUGGCCAUCCUUCACUUAUCCAGGUUCUUUAAUACUGCAUGGCCAUCCUUCACUUAUCCAGGUUCUUUAAUACUGCAUGGCCAUCCUUCACUUAUCCAGGUUCUUUAAUACUGCAUGGCCAUCCUUCACUUAUCCAGGUUCUUUAAUACUGCAUGGCCAUCCUUCACUUACAUUUACAUUUAAGUCAUUUAGCAGACGCUCUUAGCAUGGUCAUCCUUCACUGGUCGCAGUUGCCCUGGUAACAUUUCAGCAAUGCUAAUGAUAAAACAUAUGGUCAAAUAUGAUAAAUAAAAUAUGAUAAAACCUGGCAUAUAAGUGUAUAGCACCUGAAAUAGAAGCAUUUCUUUAGCAUUUCACCUGACAUGUAUACUUUGCCAGAGGACCU